rnacentral:rRNA from 1 species
UACGUAGGGUGCAGGCGUUAAUCGGAAUUACUGGGCGUAAAGCGUGCGUAGGCGGCUCCGUAAGUCAGAUGUGAAAGCCCCGGGCUUAACCUGGGAACUGCGUUUGAAACUGGGGAGCUAGAGUGUAGAAGAGGGGGGUGGAAUUCCAGGUGUAGUGGUGAAAUGCGUAGAUAUCGGGAGGAACACCAGUGGCGAAGGCGACUACCUGGCCUGUUCUUGACGCUGAGGCGCGAAAGCUAGGGGAGCAAACGGG